AUGAAAGUCCUAUACAGUUCUCGGCCAGCUUACAUCUGCUUCAUGUCGUCUCCGGAACUGGUUUCAGCACUAGCGGUUCUGCAGCCAGAGGGUGGCCCAGCAGAGAUUCCAGCUGGGACAGGCGGCUCAGCAUCACGGCUGGCAGCUGCUGAUGGAAGCAAUGGCCAGGUGGAAGGCACACCAUCUGGGGUGUAUCAGAAAGAAAUUUCUGCAGAGACAAGCUGCCCAACUCCUGGCACAGAGACUCGGUCGGGCCUGCUUCUGCCAGAGGAGGAAGCAGGUGAGAACCAGUACAGCACUUCUUGCCUACUGGCAAGACUUCAGCUUAGAGCCAUCUCAGCCCCACAUCUAGUUCAGUCUUUAACACUGUCUUUGUCCCAGGGCUCCAUCCCUGUGUGUGCCUCACCCCCACCCCUGCACUAUCAGCUUCCUUCAUACGCCAUUUGUAGAAGACUAGUCUCUUCGAUUCAGGUUUCUCUUAAAGUGUCAUCUUAAACACACUGGAAUAAUACCCAACUCCUGGGACUCCUCUGUGUGGUCUAACUCCAGGGGGUCGGGUGAGUGUCCUCUGGCACCUUUAUCUUCUCCGGGAAGGGCCAAGUUGGCCUUACCUAGGGCUGGAAGUCCUGUUUUCUAUUUGGAGGUUAUGGAACGCCAAGCAAGGCUUGCCUGGGUUCUGUUACCUACCUGACAACUGUAACUGUAAUGCUAACAAGGGACAAACAGCGUGGGCCUGGGUCCUACUUAUACCCAGUGUUCUGGGGACAGUUGACAUACAGCAGCUUUCAGAGACCUCAGUGAAAAAGACUGAUCCCUCUAGAAAGGGACAGGAAGAGAAGUUUUCACAUGGCUCACAUGAGUUGCUGUUUGCUGGGAAAGACAGAAGAUUGUUGGCCAUUCUCUCAAAGCACUUUAUUAGCCAAUAUACCUCUUCAAAGGGCUCGCUUGAGGCUGUGCCAAGGACCCAGCCUGAUAGGUGUCCCCAUCUCCAGGUCAUGCCAGCAACAAGCCAACAGCCUGCGUAGGUGGCUGGAGCUAAGCCAGGAGGUGCAGAGAUCUAAGGACCUUCAUCUAGAAGAGCAGGUGAAAACAGAACUGGAGGAG
rnacentral:lncRNA from 1 species